rnacentral:rRNA from 1 species
AUUAGAUACCCUAUUAUUAUUAAUGUAAAAUUGUAAACCGGAGUAAUAUUAGUUAUGAUCUUGAAACUUAAAGAAUUUGGCGGUAUUAUAGUCUAUUUAAAGGAAUUUGUUAUGUAAUCGAUAAUCCACGUUGAACCUUACCUAAAUAAAUUCUUGUAUAUCGCUGUUUAUUGAGAAUACUUAUAGGUAGAAUUUUCUAAUUAAAUUAGUAAUUAAAAUUUCAAGUCAAGGUGCAGUUAUAUUUAGGAUGAAUAAUGGAUUACAAUAAAAUUUAUUUAUUAUGGAUAAUUAUCAGUAUUAUAAUUUGAAGGUGGAUUUAAUUGUAAUUUAAAAGAGAGUAUUUAAAUGAUUUAUAGCUCUAUAAUAUGUACACAUCGCCCG